ensembl:lncRNA
UCAUUAUCAUGUUGUAGUUUUUGGGUUGAAACCAGAGAGAAAGAUGUUUUCCUGCGUUUUGGUAUCGUGGUCCGAGGUGAGGCUCCAAAAAACGUUUCUGCGUCUCCUCAAACGCGUUCACUUUAUAUGCUGAAGCGUCGAAUUUGUUACGUCUAAUAACUGCGGUUUCCGCGUCGAGAUAGACUGCGACUUAGGGGAAGUUCCACCCCUGCUCUUGCUUCUGAUAGUUUUUUUUACUUACGUAAGCUGUAGUACUCGGCCUCCCCGCUCUGAGAGCCAUUAAAAACGCCUGCCUGCGUGCAGGAUGUGUUGUGGACUGAGUUUAUCUGACAUGUACAUUUAUAAACAGCUGUGCGACAACAAAGUCAUCGGAAGACGGACUUUCUUCUCAGCAAAAUACAAGAAAUUAUUUCAAAAAGGAAAAUAUGAGUACAGCUCAAUACAUCUGUGACGGUAAGCUGAAUCUGCUGCUUUCUUUAAAUGACUACACUAUAUGGCCACAAUUUUGUGGGCAUCAGACCCAUGUGUCCUUGUAGAACAUCCCAUUCCAGAUUUAUUCCCCAUGUGCCAUUAUAAUAACCUCCACUCUUCUGGGAAGGCUUUGCACUAGAUUUUGGAGCGUGGCUGUGGGGAUUUGUGCUCAGUCAUCCACAAAUGCAUUAGUGACGAGGUAUUGUAAUGCUGGAACAUCAGUCUCAGUCUUAGUUCCAGUCAAGGAAAAUUGUAAUGCGGCACCAUACAAAUACAUUCUAGACAAUUGUGUACGUCCAAAUUUGUGACCACAUACAGUGUAGAUUAGACAUGGUGCACGUCAUAUGAUCAGACAAUAUUUAUAAUAAUUAGCCACUAUUUGUGUUGGUUUGUCUCGCGCUCCAGUAGGGCUCGCGCUCCCGUGGCGACUGUUUGUCUAUACUGCUUGAGCAGAGACUCCGAUAUUUUAAGGAAUUUCAUCUCAGACUCUCAUCGGCUGUUUGUUAGCUGUACUUGCUACUAUUCGCGGAGAGGUUCACACUACACGAUUCAUUCUAGAGAAUAACAUGCUGGAAAAUACCUGGAAAAUACAUAAUGCAUUAACUAUGAACUAAUUUGUUUUGUUGAUUGUUUCUCCUUGACUCAGGUGUGUGCACUGCAGUGCUCAGCGGUGUGUCUGAGAUCUGCGAGAUGCUCGUGAACGUCUUCGCAUGUGGAGGUGUGUGUGUCAGUCAUCCGUAGCAUUUAACACCCGAGAUGUCCAAUAUCAAUAUUUUAGAGAAAUACAUGAUCAGGAUGUAGCAGCAGAUCAUUCCGCAGAGUCAGGAGAAGAAGUUGUGAGACUUUCAGUGGAGGAAACUGGACCGGCCGGGACCCAACACUCAGUGCGUCCUUUCUUCUCCACAGAUCCAUGAGACACCUCCUCCGUCAUGACAUGGAUCCCAACCUUGAGGUCACUCCAGUGCCAGUCUUCCACGUGUCCUGCUGUGGUCAUUUCACCAACUUUUGGUGUUAUCAAUUUGGUGUUAUCAUGGCAUGCUUAAUUUUAGCGGAGACGUUAGCCACAGCUUUAUACUCGCUCGCUUCGGUUUUUUACUUGUUGCUCUGUAAUCAUAUUUCUUGCCGUGACCAAUUUAAAAAAAAUGGCUGAACAGAUCUGUGUUGCUAAUACUCUAUAACGUGUCUUUUUAAUACAUCAAAGAGAAGUAGGGGUUGGCUGCUAUUUUUCUUGGGGAUUGUUUUAAAUAGAUAUAGUGCAUAUACACUCGAAUCAAUAUUACAUUUGAAAUACAAUGUGUAUAAUAGUGUAUUAUAAUAUAUAAUAACAUAAUAGUUUUAUAUUGUUUAACAUUCUAAAUAAUUUUGUACUUACAUAGACAUAUGUUUUGUUUAUUAUUUAUAAUAUUGGA